GUCUGUGGAGUGUGAGUGUGAGUGAGAAAGUGAGUUGUAUCUCAUAGUUGAAACCAAGACUGUUCUCAGGGCAGGUCUGCCGGUUUUGACUAGCAGAAGUUACUUUUCUUAGCAGGUUACGAUAAUUAACGCAGCAGGUUAGGAUAAUUAUGUAAAAUGCUAACAAUGUCCCCGAUGCGACUCGAAUCUAUGUACAACCAUGCCUGCCCUGAGAACAGACUUAAUUUCCACUAUGCGAUGCUCCGGGCCAAACGGUCUGUGAGGGAAGACUCAAGAGGAAAUUAGCUUUCUGUUCUACUCGAGCUAUUUUAUUUUGUAUUUUCGUUGAAAAGUCGCCUAAAUAUUUUUGAGCAGAUGCUAGAUUGUGUGGUUAGCUUGCUAGCAGCCAUUGUCCAGGGAGAUGGUCGUGGCAUUUUCCCGAUUUAGGCAUGGAGGGUCUUCAAGAUGCAAUUAAACACCAAUUGCCCGAGUUGGAGACCGAGAUGGGGAGAUCUUUGUCGGAGCAUCUGAGGGCAAAUUUUGGAGUGGAGAAUAUUAACAACCUUGAAUAUGUUCAGCCGGAGGACAUAAAAUACCAUUUGAUGCCAAUAUAGUGCCUGGAAAUGCUUCAGUCCUUCAACCAAAGAGAAUGGAUAGGAUCUGUAACAAUGGAUAGUACACUUGUCCUCCUCCAAGCAUCAGUGACCUCCAAGAACAGUGGCCUUUGCUUUUCACCAAGUUAUGACUAUGCGACCACUUCAAUACCCUCACUGGCAUCGUGAUUGACAGUCGCCUGACUCAAGCUCUCCUGAACAAGGGUCACUGCAACUCGGGUUGAUGUCGAGGCGUAAAUUCCUUUGCCAGACACACCAAGGCUGAUUAUGCUUGGAAAUACUCUAUUGGGUUCCUCAAAAUGGAUGGUGUCGAUCGAGGGGAGAGUGGUCUGUGUUAUGGACAGUGAGUCCAACUUUGUUGCUGCCCUCUGUGCUCUUCAGCACUUUCUAUGAAUUUAACAUAGAAUACCAGGAGUCAGCCUCUGCAACCUUGGCGCUGAUGCAGAGGAACCAAAUGCACAGUGAAAGCAGGAGUGAGCCGCAAAACCGGAAAGGUCGUUCAGCGGAAGCCAUUGCCAAUUGACCCACAUGUUAAGUGCUUUCUCGCAGACCUGAAGGAGUUUGAGUGGAAAAACUCCAACAUUAAAUCCUGCCAUGCGGUUUGGGUCAGCAAAUGAUCUGCUUGCGCCAUCCUGGAGCCUGUGUUGGCUUGCAGUAGCGUGCUUCUCUGGCUCCAGUCAAGCCCUGCUCCCUAUCAUCCUUCUCUCUCAGCCCCUUUCACUCACUCACUCACUCACUCACUCACUCACUCACUCACUCACUCACUCACUCACUCACUCACUCACUCACUCACAGGCAAGCAGUUCUUACAUAAUCCUGUAUUUUCAAGAAUGACCUAUUCUGAUGUCUUGGUUUGUGUAUGGUGAAGUACAUUAUUGGCCAGUAUUUGUCAAUGUUCCUAUCACUGUAUCUCUGUCUCUUUCUCUCCCCUACUAUCUGGAGUUGUAAUGUUUUCAAAUGUUGUUCUUUGUGGUUAAAGUGCAAUUCAUGUUAUGAAUUUGAAUAAAUAUAUAUAUUUGUACACGUA